rnacentral:rRNA from 1 species
CGCGUGGGAAUAUGCCCAAAGGUACGGAAUAGCCUCUGGAAACGGAGAGUAAUACCGUAUGUGCCCUUCGGGGAAAAUUAUCGCCUUUGGAUUAGCCCGCGUAAGAUUAGAUAGUUGGUGGGGUAAGUGGCCUACCAAGUCUACGAUCUUUAGUCUGGUUUGUAGAGGAUGAUCAGCAACACUGGGACUGAGACACGGCCCAGACUCCUACGGGAGGCAGCAGUGGGGGAAUCUUAGACAAUGGGCGCAAGCCUGAUCUAGCCAUGCCGCGUGAGUGACGAAGGCCUUAGGGUCGUAAAG